AUGAGCAAGACGGACAGGAUCGGGCUCGCCUGGCCGGAGCAGCCGCUGGACCUGAUGGCCACCGCGUCCUUGUCAUCGGCGUCGUUCAAGUCGCCGAGAUCGUUCGGCGCGCACAGGUCGUUCAUGAAGUCCAGGGCCGCCACCGACGACGGUCCGGCCAUGGUCCUCGACCUGGACCUGGACCUCGACCUCGACGGCGAGGCCGCGCGUGGUCAUGGCAAGAAGAAGGGCGGCGGCAGCUCGCCGUUCGUGAGGAUCGUGAGCAAGCAGAUGACGGGCAUCUUCCUGACCAUCGGGGUGCGGCGCGGCCUGCGGAGGUGCGUCCAGAACAUCAAGGUGUCCACCGUGGGCGUGGACGCCAUGGGCUACAUCGGCAACAAGGGGUCGGUGUCGGCGAGCAUGUCCAUCUACCAGACCAUGUUCUGCUUCGUCUGGUUAUCGCUCCUUAAUCAUUGGCAGAUCGAUGAAUUUAUGGAGUAG
rnacentral:rRNA from 1 species